rnacentral:lncRNA from 1 species
CCAUCCACAAUGUUGUUCAUGCUAUUAUUCUGCAUCAACAGCAACAACAACAACAACAACAACAACAAAAACAACCAUUGAGCCAGGUCUCCUUCCAACAGCCUCAACAACAAUAUCCAUCAGGCCAGGGCUCCUUCCAGCCAUCUCAGCAAAACCCACAGGCCCAGGGCUCUGUCCAGCCUCAACAACUGCCCCAGUUUGAGGAAAUAAGGAACCUAGCGCUAGAGACGCUACCUGCAAUGUGCAAUGUCUAUAUCCCUCCAUAUUGCACCAUUGCUC